UACGUAGGGUGCAAGCGUUAUCCGGAAUUAUUGGGCGUAAAGAGCUCGUAGGCGGUUUGUCGCGUCUGCUGUGAAAUCUGGGGGCUCAACCCCCAGCCUGCAGUGGGUACGGGCAGACUAGAGUGCGGUAGGGGAGAUUGGAAUUCCUGGUGUAGCGGUGGAAUGCGCAGAUAUCAGGAGGAACACCGAGGGCGAAGGCAGAUCUCUGGGCCGUAACUGACGCUGAGGAGCGAAAGCGUGGGGAGCAAACAGG
rnacentral:rRNA from 1 species